rnacentral:rRNA from 1 species
CUCGUAGGCGGUUCGGUAAGUCGGGUGUGAAAACUUGAGGCUCAACCUCAAGAGGCCACCCGAUACUGCUGUGACUCGAGUGCGGUAGGGGAGCGGGGAAUUCCUGGUGUAGCGGUGAAAUGCGCAGAUAUCAGGAGGAACACCAGUGGCGAAGGCGCCGCUCUGGGCCGUAACUGACGCUGAGGAGCGAAAGCGUGGGUAGCAAAUA